rnacentral:rRNA from 1 species
AUUGAACGCUGGCGGCAUGCUUUACACAUGCAAGUCGAACGGUAACAGGCCUUCGGGUGUUGACGAGUGGCGAACGGGUGAGUAAUGCAUCGGAACGUGCCCAGAGGUGGGGGAUAACGCAGCGAAAGCUGUGCUAAUACCGCAUGUGAUCUGAGGAUGAAAGCGGGGGACCAAGCAGCAAUGUUUGGCCUCGCGCCUCUGGAGCGGCCGAUGUCAGAUUAGGUAGUUGGUGGGGUAAAGGCCUACCAAGCCGACGAUCUGUAGCUGGUCUGAGAGGACGACCAGCCACACUGGGACUGAGACACGGCCCAGACUCCUACGGGAGGCAGCAGUGGGGAAUUUUGGACAAUGGGCGCAAGCCUGAUCCAGCAAUGCCGCGUGCGGGAAGAAGGCCUUCGGGUUGUAAACCGCUUUUGUACGGAACGAAAAGGCUCUGGCUAAUACCUGGGGCUGAUGACGGUACCGUAAGAAUAAGCACCGGCUAACUACGUG